UACGUAGGGGGCAAGCGUUGUUCGGAAUUACUGGGCGUAAAGGGCGUGUAGGCGGUGCGGUAUGUUGGACGUGAAAUCCCCGGGCUCAACUCGGGGCGGUCGUUCAAAACUGCCGUGCUAGAGUGUGGGAGAGGGAAGUGGAAUUCCCGGUGUAGCGGUGAAAUGCGUAGAUAUCGGGAAGAACACCUGUGGCGAAGGCGGCUUCCUGGCCCGCAACUGACGCUGAGGCGCUAAAGCUAGGGGAGCAAACAGG
rnacentral:rRNA from 1 species